GACGAACGCUGGCGGCGUGCCUAAUACAUGCAAGUUGAGCGCUGAAGGUUGGUACUUGUACCAACUGGAUGAGCAGCGAACGGGUGAGUAACGCGUGGGGAAUCUGCCUUUGAGCGGGGGACAACAUUUGGAAACGAAUGCUAAUACCGCAUAAAAACUUUAAACACAAGUUUUAAGUUUGAAAGAUGCAAUUGCAUCACUCAAAGAUGAUCCCGCGUUGUAUUAGCUAGUUGGUGAGGUAAAGGCUCACCAAGGCGAUGAUACAUAGCCGACCUGAGAGGGUGAUCGGGCAACUUGGGACUGAGACACGGCCCAAACUCCUACGGGAGGCAGCAGUAGGGAAUUUUCGGCAAUGGACGAAAGUCUGACCGAGCAACGCCGCGUGAGUGAAGAAGGUUUUCGGAUCGUAAAACUCUGUUGGUAGGGAAGAACGUUGGUGAGAGUGGAAAGCUCAUCAAGUGACGGUAACUACCCAGAAAGGGACGGCUAACUACGU
rnacentral:rRNA from 1 species